GGUGAGUUAAAGUGGUAUUUUGUGAGUUAAGGUGGUAUUUUGGAUAGUUAAGGUGGUAUUUUGGAGAGUUAAGGUGGUAUUUUGGAGAGUUAAGGUGGUAUUUUGUGAGUUAAGUUGGUAUUUUGGAUAGUUAAGGUGGUGUUUGGUGAGUUAAGGUGGUAUUUUGGAGAGUUAAGGUGGUAUUUGGUGAGUUAAGGUGGUAUUUUGGAUAGUUAAGGUGGUAUUUGGUGAG